rnacentral:rRNA from 1 species
AAAAUACAAGGCAGUUAAAAUGCUUUGUAAUUGGAAUGAUAGAAAUUUAAACCCCUUUUUAAAGUAUCAAUUGGAGGGCAAGUCUGGUGCCAGCAGCCGCGGUAAUUCCAGCUCCAAUAGCGUAUAUUAAAAUUGUUGCAGUUAAAAAGCUCGUAGUUGAAGUUCUGCUGAAAGUAACCGGUCUGCUUUUAAUAAAAGUGGUAUCUUGGUAUGUAUUUAGCAAUGAUGUCCUUUGAAGUGUUUUUUACUUUAUUGUAAUAAAGCAUAUUCAGGACUUUUACUUUGAGAAAAUUAGAGUGUUUCUAGCAGGCUAACGCUUUGAAUACUGCAGCAUGGAAUAAUAAGAUAGGAUUUUAGUUCUACAUUAUUGGUUUUAAGAGCUAAAUUAAUGAUUGAUAGGGACAGUUGGGGGCAUUUGUAUUUAACUGUCAGAGGUGAAAUUCUUAGAUUUGUUAAAGACAAACUACUGCGAAAGCAUUUGCCAAAGAUGUUUUCAUUAAUCAAGAACGAAAGUUAGGGGAUCGAAGACGAUCAGAUACCGUCGUAGUCUUAACUAUAAACUAUGCCGACUAGAGAUUGGAGGUCGUCUUUAUAAAC